rnacentral:rRNA from 1 species
CGGACAAUAUACAAGGUGCUGCAUGGUUGUCGUCAGCUCGUGCCGUGAGGUGUCGGGUUAAGUCCCAUAACGAGCGCAACCCCUAUCAUUAGUUGCCAUCAGGUCAAGCUGGGGACUCUAAUGAAACUGCCUACGCAAGUAGUGAGGAAGGCGGGGAUGACGUCAAAUCAGCACGGCCCUUACGUCCAGGGCUACACACGUGCUACAAUGGCCGAUACAGAGGGCAGCUACCUGGUGACAGGAUGCAAAUCUACCAAAGUCGGUCUCAGUUCGGAUCGGAGUCUGCAACCCGACUCCGUGAAGUUGGAUUCGCUAGUAAUCGCGCAUCAGCCAUGGCGCGGUGAAUACGUUCCCGGGCCUU